GAUAUCGGUUCGAUCCGGUGAAAAGGGAAGCAGGUGCAAAUCCUGCGCGAACUCGUCACUGUCAUUAAGGAGUGUCCGGAAACAUAUGUCACUGAGCCACGCUUGGGAAGACUUCCGGCCGCGUUGAUCUAUCAGCCAGGAGACCUGCCUGUUGUGU
rnacentral:ncRNA from 1 species